rnacentral:rRNA from 1 species
GAUGAACGCUAGCUACAGGCUUAACACAUGCAAGUCGAGGGGUAACGAGAGGAAAGCUUGCUUUCCUUGUCGACGACCGGCGCACGGGUGAGUAACGCGUAUCCAACCUGCCCCCAACUAGGGAAUAACCUUGCGAAAGUAAGACUAAUACCCUAUAAUUUCCUCAGAUGUCAUCUGACGAGGAAUAAAGAUUUAUCGGUUGUGGAUGGGGAUGCGUCUGAUUAGCUUGUUGGCGGGGUAACGGCCCACCAAGGCAACGAUCAGUAGGGGUUCUGAGAGGAAGGUCCCCCACAUUGGAACUGAGACACGGUCCAAACUCCUACGGGAGGCAGCAGUGAGGAAUAUUGGUCAAUGGGCGGAAGCCUGAACCAGCCAAGUAGCGUGCAGGACGACGGCCCUAUGGGUUGUAAACUGCUUUUAUACAGGAAUAAAGUUAGCCACGUGUGGUUAUUUGUAGGUACUGUAUGAAUAAGGACCGGCUAAUUCCGUGCCAGCCGCCGCGGUAA